GACGAACGCUGACGGUGUGCUUUUAGACAUGCAAGUCGAACGAGAAAGCCCUUCGGGGUGAGUACAGUGGCGAACGGGUGAGUAACACGUGGGCAACCUGCCCCUCGCAGGGGGACAACCGGAGGAAACUCCGGCUAAUACCCCGUAAGCUUUGUUGGGUCGCAUGACCCUUCAAGGAAAGGUAGCUUCGCCAUCCGGCGAGGGA
rnacentral:rRNA from 1 species